UACGUAGGGUGCGAGCGUUAAUCGGAAUUACUGGGCGUAAAGCGUGCGCAGGCGGUUUGCUAAGACAGGUGUGAAAUCCCCGGGCUUAACCUGGGAACUGCGCUUGUUACUGGCAGGCUUGAGUGUGGCAGAGGGGGGUGGAAUUCCACGUGUAGCAGUGAAAUGCGUAGAUAUGUGGAGGAACACCGAUGGCGAAGGCAGCCCCCUGGGUUAACACUGACGCUCAUGCACGAAAGCGUGGGGAGCAAACAGG
rnacentral:rRNA from 1 species